UGUUGAUAGGCUAUGGCUGUGGAAACCUCGUCCGCUGCUGCCUUUUGUUUUCAUGAGCACCAUCCCUGGAUAAGGGGCAGGUCCAGUUGCUAUUCUUAAGGCAGGAGGGGUGCUAAUAUUCUCAUCUGCAUCUUUCUUCAAAGCUCACCCAGCCUCUUUCAAUGGAGGCACCGGUCAUUGGUCACCAUAAACAACACACAAUCAAGAAGGAGCACACUAGAAACACGGAUUGUUUGCUUUGGAGAAAGACAUCAGGAAGGACAUAUGCAAAAUAUGAAAAACAAGUGACCAACUGUCCUCGUGGAAUAAAAUGUUAUAAACUGGAAAUUUAAAGUAGGAAAAUGCAUUCAAGACUCCAAGCUCAAGAAAUAAUUUAUCUCACCAAGUGAUACUGUAAUACGAAUGGGGACAGCCCUCUCAUUUCAGCUUCUUGAGAGAGUCUUUUAAACUACUUUUCUUCUUUUUUUUUUAAACUACUUUUGCCCUUCUAUCGUCAUCUUUUCCCAUAGCGAACCCAGCGUUUUCACCCUUACUCCUGAGUUAAGGCAUCAUCAGUUGCUGGCUGACUCACAUAGACAAGGCAACCUCUAUAUUUGUUUUUCUAUGUAGCCCCAGGUUGAGGGUCCCAAGUCAAGGUCUUAUAUAACCUGGCUGUCACCUAGAAAGCUACAUAAAGUUUGGAAAAUGUCAGAAAACUCAAGGAAAAGAGGACCGAACUAGGUGGACACAAGGUCACUCACUAUUUGUGCGGUUGUAUGUGAGAGCACAGCUGCAUUUGGGAUUUUGCAUCCAGCCUGGGGAGGUCUAAACAGAAACAAGAAGGAAGAGCAGAAUAACAACAAAAACUAGCAGAAGAGUUAAAGAGAAUGUCAGGAGGUGAGGGCAGUUAACAAGUUUCUGUUCUCACAGAAAUGUGAGAAUGUUUUAUGUUUUAUGUGAGAAUGUUACACGGUGUCAUUGAUCAAGUAAGAGUUACUCAGGUCAGCAAGUCCUCUGUCAUUAAGGAGACAAGGACUGACCAUAUUUUCUCUGUAAAGUUUUGGUCAAAAGAUUAGAAAUGCAUCCUGGAAACUGGAAGCAACCUAAAUGUUCAUACAGAAAUGGUUAAUUGAGAAGCCUAUGCAUUGUUUAAAAGGAAAGGAAGAGACCUAUAGAUUAGUGACAUGGAGAGAUGACAAUAUUUUUAGCUGAAAAAGCCUCCCACUAGUGUCUACAUACAUAUGACAUGUAAUUUGUAGUUUAUGUAUUUUAUAAAUGUCCACAAAGACAUCUGAGAUGAAAUACUAAACUUUUCCUGGGAGAUAGGAUUGCAGAGAGGACUUCUGGGGCAUAACUAUAAAUUUAUAUUUUGCUUUUUAAAAGAUAUCUAUAGAGUUUAGGCAUUUAGAUAAAUCAAGCAUAAUUUAUUUUUUGAAUUAUAUGUGUACUAAAUAAUUUAAUAAUUACAAAAGCAGCAGAGUUCUGAAAUA